UGGUUCCACUUAAAAUAUAUAGCGCUUUAAACAGGCUACUUGGAGGUAUUGAUCUUAAGGUGGUACUUUGCUUUUCAUAAAAAGGGAAUUUUAAAAAAAUCUAUAAAAUGUAUAGAGAUUUAUGCUACAACAUUAUUAUAAUGUUACUAAAAUAAUUGUUGGUUUGUUUUUCUGUUUUAUAGGGAAAACCUAUGAAAAGGAUGGGAACACUUUUGAAUGCAGGCCCUACACCUUAUACAUUAUCCUGAACAGUCCCAGGUUCACAGCUUCAAGAAAUAUUGCUGUGAGGCAAGUUCCUUUACCCCAGGUCCUCUGAAGUUGCCAUCUCUCCAGAAUUUAUGGAUCAAGAUGCUUUAUCCAACUUCUCUUCAACGCAUGGUUCCAGGUUAGUGGAC
rnacentral:lncRNA from 1 species